rnacentral:rRNA from 1 species
CCUACGGGUGGCAGCAGUAGGGAAUAUUGCUCAAUGGGGGAAACCCUGAAGCAGCAACGCCGCGUGGAGGAUGAAGGUUUUCGGAGGGUAAACUCCUUUUGUUAGAGAAGAGAAUGACGGUAUCUAACGAAUAAGAAACGGCUAACGCCGUGCCAGCAGCCGCGGUAAUACGGAGGGUGCAAGCGUUCCUCGGAAUCACUGGGCGUAAAGAGCGCGUAGGCGGGAUAGCAAGUCAGAUUUGAAAUCCUAUGGCUUAACCAUAGAACUGCAUUUGAAACUGUUAUUCUAGAGUUUGGGAGAGGUAGGUGGUAUUCUUGGUGUCGUGGUCAAAUCCGU